CCUACGUGCGGCAGCAGUGGGGGAUAUUGCACAAUGGGGGAAACCCUGAUGCAGCGACGCCGCGUGUGGGAAGACGGUCCUCUGGAUUGUAAACCACUGUCCCCAGGGACGAAGAUGACGGUACCUGGGGAGGAAGCUCCGGCUAACUACGUGCCAGCAGCCGCGGUAAUACGUAGGUGGCAAGCGUUAUCCGGAUAUAUUGGGUGUAAAGGGCGUGUAGGCGGGAGCGCAAGUCAGAUGUGAAAACUCAGGGCUCAACCCUGAGCCUGCAUUUGAAACUGUGUUUCUUGAGUGCUGGAGAGGCAAUCGGAAUUCCGGGUGUAGCGGUGAAAUGCGUAGAUAUACGGAGGAACACCAGUGGCGAAGGCGGAUUGCUGGACAGUAACUGACGCUGAGGCGCGAAAGCGUGGGGAGCAAACAGGAUUAGAUACCCCAGUAGUC
rnacentral:rRNA from 1 species